CCUACGGGGGGCAGCAGUAGGGAAUAUUGCUCAAUGGGGGAAACCCUGAUGCAGCAACGCCGCGUGGAGGAUGAAGGUUUUCGGAUUGUAAACUCCUUUUAUAAGCGAGGAUAAUGACGGUAUCUAACGAAUAAGCACCGGCUAACUCCGUGCCAGCAGCCGCGGUAAUACGUAGGGUGCAAGCGUUACUCGGAAUCACUGGGCGUAAAGAGCUCGUAGGCGGGAUAGAAAGUCAGAUGUGAAAUCCUAGGGCUUAACCAUAGAACUGCAUUUGAAACUGUUAUUCUAGAGUACGUGAGAGGUAGGUGGAAUUCCUGGUGUAGGGGUAAAAUCCGUAGAUAUUAAGAGGAAUACUCAUUGCGAAGGCGAGCUGCUAGAACAGAUCUGACGCUGAGGCGCGAAAGCGUGGGGAGCAAACAGGAUUAGAUACCCGAGUAGUC
rnacentral:rRNA from 1 species